rnacentral:rRNA from 1 species
GACGAACGCUGGCGGCGUGCCUAAUACAUGCAAGUAGAACGCAGUUGCGAACGGGUGAGUAACGCGUAGGUAACUGCCUCAUAGCGGGGGCUAACUAUUGGAAACGAUAGCUCAUACCGCAUACUGUGACAUGGACCUGCGUUGUAUUAGCUAGUUGGUGAGGUAAAGGCUCACCAAGGCGACGAUACAUAGCCGACCUGAGAGGGGGAGCGGCCACACUGGGAGUGGGAGACGGCCAAGACGCGUACGGGAGGCAGCAGUAGGGAAUCUUCGGAAAUGGACGGAAGGCGGACCGAGCAAAGCCGCGUGAGUGAAGAAGGUUGUCGGAGCGGAAAGCUCUGUUGUGAGAGAAGCGGUAACUAACAAGAAAGGGACGGCUAACUACGUGCCAGCAGCCGCGGUAAUUC